UUCUUGUUGUUGUUAUUCAGUUUUCUCAGAACAACAAACUCAUCGUCUUCGUCUCGAGCUGCGAGGCUGUCGAGUUCCUCCACUCUCUUUUCACCUCCGUCCUCUCGGGGCCCUCGACCAAUCAUAAGCCUCGGAUCAGCUUCAUGCGUCUCCAUGGCAACAUGAAGCAGGAGGAGCGCUCGGAGGUCUUCCAGCAGUUUUCAGGGUCUCGGUCUGGAGUCCUGCUGUGCACGGAUGUAGCAGCUCGAGGUCUGGACCUCCCUCAGGUCACCUGGAUUGUUCAGGUAAUCAUUAAGUGACCAGUGGGUCUGUGUGGGGUAUUUUCGGGUCAAGCAGCACCAGGGGCCUCAUGUACAAAUAC